GUGCUAUAAUGCAAGUCGAGCGGACAGAAGGGAGCUUGCUCCCGGAUGUUAGCGGCGGACGGGUGAGUAACACGUGGGUAACCUGCCUGUAAGACUGGGAUAACUCCGGGAAACCGGAGCUAAUACCGGAUAGUUCCUUGAACCGCAUGGUUCAAGGAUGAAAGACGGUUUCGGCUGUCACUUACAGAUGGACCCGCGGCGCAUUAGCUAGUUGGUGGGGUAAUGGCUCACCAAGGCAACGAUGCGUAGCCGACCUGAGAGGGUGAUCGGCCACACUGGGACUGAGACACGGCCCAGACUCCUACGGGAGGCAGCAGUAGGGAAUCUUCCGCAAUGGACGAAAGUCUGACGGAGCAACGCCGCGUGAGUGAUGAAGGUUUUCGGAUCGUAAAGCUCUGUUGUUAGGGAAGAACAAGUGCGAGAGUAACUGCUCGCACCUUGACGGUACCUAACCAGAAAGCCACGGCUAACUACGUGCCAGCAGCCGCGGUAAUACGUAGGUGGCAAGCGUUGUCCGGAAUUAUUGGGCGUAAAGGGCUCGCAGGCGGUUUCUUAAGUCUGAUGUGAAAGCCCCCGGCUCAACCGGGGAGGGUCAUUGGAAACUGGGAAACUUGAGUGCAGAAGAGGAGAGUGGAAUUUCCACGUGUAGCGGUGAAAUGCGUAGAGAUGUGGAGGAACACCAGUGGCGAAGGCGACUCUCUGGUCUGUAACUGACGCUGAGGAGCGAAAGCGUGGGGAGCGAACAGGAUUAGAUACCCUGGUAGUCCACGCCGUAAACGAUGAGUGCUAAGUGUUAGGGGGUUUCCGCCCCUUAGUGCUGCAGCUAACGCAUUAAGCACUCCGCCUGGGGAGUACGGUCGCAAGACUGAAACUCAAAGGAAUUGACGGGGGCCCGCACAAGCGGUGGAGCAUGUGGUUUAAUUUCGAAGCAACGCGAAGAACCAUUACCAGGUCUUGACAUCCUCUGACAACCCUAGAGAUAGGGCUUUCCCUUCGGGGACAGAGUGACAGGUGGUGCAUGGUUGUCGUCAGCUCGUGUCGUGAGAUGUUGGGUUAAGUCCCGCAACGAGCGCAACCCUUGAUCUUAGUUGCCAGCAUUUAGUUGGGCACUCUAAGGUGACUGCCGGUGACAAACCGGAGGAAGGUGGGGAUGACGUCAAAUCAUCAUGCCCCUUAUGACCUGGGCUACACACGUGCUACAAUGGACAGAACAAAGGGCUGCGAGACCGCAAGGUUUAGCGAAUCCCAUAAAUCUGUUCUCAGUUCGGAUCGCAGUCUGCAACUCGACUGCGUGAAGCUGGAAUCGCUAGUAAUCGCGGAUCAGCAUGCCGCGGUGAAUACGUUCCCGGGCCUUGUACACACCGCCCGUCACACCACGAGAGUUUGCAACACCCGAAGUCGGUGAGGUAACCUUUAUGGAGCCAGCCGCCGAAGGUG
rnacentral:rRNA from 1 species